AACAUGGCCGCCCCGAGCGCUUAGCAGUCUCCUUAUCAGAUGGGUAAACAAACAGAUGUUCCCUACCAGCUUACUGCCAAAGUGCAGUUUGGACUUUUGUUUUUUCUUACGACGUUGCUACUGUCGUCGCUGCGGUGACAGAAUAUUAAGCAGAAAUAGCAAACGCUACCUAAUCGCCUGUUGUUAACCAACUUGGUGCUGUCAUGCCCCCUCAAAAGCGCAGGUUGUUUAACUAACUAACCCCGGCUUUUCCUGUGUACAGCAGCUUCAAUGACAGAUGAGUAACCGCACAGGCAGCAGGAGGCAGAAAGCUGCAGAGGAUGGAGAGCGGAGUCUCAUUGGACCUCCGGCCGGACACGCCGGGGAGAGCGUCCGGGAUCAAGAAGCCUCAACGACCCCGUUUUUCGUCUACUUGCUGGCGUUUUUCUCCGCCCUGGGUGGAUUUCUCUUCGGGUAUGACACGGGGGUGGUUUCUGGAGCGAUGCUGCUCCUGAAGAAGGAGAUGCACCUGAGCACCCUGUGGCAGGAGCUGCUGGUGUCCAGCACCGUCGGAGCCGCGGCGCUCUCCGCCCUCAGCGGGGGCUUCCUGAAUGGGUGGCUGGGGCGCAGGAUUUGUAUCCUCAUCGCCAGCUUCAUCUUCUGUGGCGGUGGGAUUGUUAUGACUGUCGCCCUGAGCAAAGUGGUCCUCCUUGUUGGUCGCAUCACAGUGGGUUUGGGCAUCGGCAUUGCUUCUAUGACCGUCCCCGUAUACAUUGCAGAGGUUUCCCCUCCGCACCUUCGAGGCCAGCUGGUCACCAUAAACUCUCUCUUCAUCACUGGUGGCCAGUUUAUUGCCAGUGUGGUGGACGGGGCGUUCAGCUACCUGAGUCACGACGGCUGGAGGUACAUGCUGGGUCUGUCCAUCCUGCCUGCUGUGCUGCAGUUCUUCGGCUUCAUCUUCCUGCCAGAGAGCCCCCGCUGGCUUCUGCAGAAAGGCCGGAGUCAGGAGGCACGCCAAGUCCUGGGCCGGAUCCGGGGGGGCCGGAACAUCGAGGAGGAGUACGACACCAUCAGGACCAGCAUCGAGGAGGAGGAGAACGAAACGGGAUCAGGAGGCGUCGUCAUUUUGCGCAUCCUCAGCUACGGACCGACUCGCAGGGCUCUCAUCGUCGGGUGUGGCCUCCAGAUGUUCCAGCAGCUGUCUGGGAUCAACACAGUCAUGUACUACAGUGCCACCAUCCUGCAGAUGGCCGGGGUGCGGGAAGACAAACAGGCGAUCUGGCUGGCUGCUGCAACCUCAGCUACCAACUUCGUGUUCACUUUGGUGGGAGUGUGGCUCGUGGAGCGGGUGGGCCGCAGGAAGCUGACGCUGGGCAGUCUUUUAGGAACUGGACUGAGUCUGACUUUGUUGGCCGUCGGGUUCCUGCUGUCGGCCCAACACUCUCCUCCUGUCACGCUCCACCCCGUCGACUUUCACAAUUCCACCUGCAGACUUUAUGGGUCCUGUGAACCGUGUAUGUUGGAUCCAGACUGUGGAUUCUGUUACCUCGAAAACAACGCCGGCGUGUUCAACUCUUCCUGCGUUCCUGUCAGUCCGGCAUCGACCGACAGCGCAGCCUGGGGAAGAUGUUCUAAUCAGACGGAAGAAUCUUUCAGCCCAUAUUGGGCUUACAACUACUGUCCCACAUCGUACUCCUGGGUUGUUCUUUUGGGCCUCAUCCUCUACCUCGCAUCAUUUGCUCCAGGUAUGGGCACGAUGCCCUGGACGGUGAACUCAGAGAUCUACCCGCUGUGGGCACGCAGCACCGGAAACGCCUGCUCUGCUGGCAUCAACUGGAUCUUCAAUGUGCUGGUGUCUUUGACGUUUCUCCAUGUUGCAGAGUAUCUGACGUAUUACGGUGCGUUCUUCAUGUACGCGGGCCUGGUGGUGUUGGGGCUCCUCUUCGUCCUCUGCUGCCUCCCGGAGACGAAGGGCUUACAGCUGGAGGAAAUCGAGAACCUGUUCGCCAGGCGGCUCUGCUCUUGUGGAGAUUUUCCAGCGAGCGACGACCACCACGUCCACUACAUCCGGGUAAAAGGCAACAACUACCUCCAUUCUGACAACGAAGCCUCAGAUGUAGAGUAGAGCGGGUUGGCUUUUAAUCUUUGGUUGUUUUUUUUUUUUUUUUUUUUUUUUUUUUUUUUUAAACUUUCUCCACUAUUUUGAUUCUGUUUUCUGUUCUGUUUGAAGACUGCUCAUGCAGGGAGGAAAGACAGCCAUGCUGCCUUAGAAAACAGAACACUGACUGCGUUUCCAUUGGCGGUACAAUUGCACAAAUUGGAAUUACAAAAAUAAAUUUGCUUAAUGGAAGCACAGCAAUUUCGACAAAAACGUUUUUUGAUUAAAUGGCUUAUUCCCUAGGAUGAGGUGGUUUAUUUGCUCUGUCAGAGUUGGUGGAUUUCUCAAAACUGAAACUUUUUUGCAUUGUACAAGUUAGAUGAUCAACAACUAGAGGUUACUACUGUCAGAAAUGACAAAGACACUAGGAAGUGGCAGAAGGAUGUUUUUUAAUCAUUUGUGUGUGAUUUUAAUUGCGUUUCCUAUUUAAUGCAAACACAGCAAUAAUUGUGCUUAUUCAACAUUAGCAGAAUAUGGACCAAGUUUUGCACACAUUUGUAAUGGAAACGCAGAUAACGGCUGACUAUUGCUCAAGGUAUUAAUACGUUAGCUGUUGUUUUCCACCUAAAAAGGGAAACAAACCUCUCCAGGUGACAGAAGCAGAUCAUUGUUGUGCCGCAGAAAACUCUCUUUCCUAUGAAUUGAACCAUCAUCUGGCUGCAGAAAUUUUACAAAAAAAAUAAAAAAAUAAAUAAAAAGAAAGAUCAGAGGGACCAAACCUUCAGUUCUCCUCAGCCAUUCUGGAGCGUAAAGAGACGUGGAUUUACACCUCCUGCAAACUCUGCAUGAUUUCAGUCUGACACCUCCUUCUGUGGUUUAGCCUGGGAGAGUUCAAACAUGGGACAGUGGUAAGAAUGUGAUUUUGCUCUUAAGAUCCACGAAGAUUCCCAGCGAUUUCCGUCACGUCGCAAAACACAUUCUUGUCAAAUUCACUAACGUGGUUUUAUUCUCCUAAUCUGGGCUGGUGGGGGAAGAAAACAACCGAUUGUGGUUUGCUGUUUUCGUGGUGGGAGUCUGCACUAUGUAAGCCAAAUGUUUUGUUUGGGUUUUUUUUWACUGUUUUUUACAUUUUAGAAAGUGUACGUGUUCCUACAUUGUUAUUAUUUUUUUAUAGCAGUCUUCAGAUUACAGGCCAGCACAUUAUGGAGCAGUGGAGUCAGACUGUGCCAUAGCCUAUAUCACUCUCAGAUAAUCGUGGCCACGUGUCCUGAAGACCAUAAAAACAGGAGUCGUUUUUUUACAGUCAUUUUGUGCUCAUUUGAUUUUGAGUUACUGUGGGCAUUUUCAAACUAUACAGGAUUUCUUACUUAAACCGUUGUUAUGUUGUUGAUUUUAUUUGUACUCAAGCUGUUUGCAAAUUGCACAAAAUGUCCAACACACUGGAAGACCUUUGUAUCUGUGUGUUUUAUGGCGGCAACUGUUUUCUAUGAACUAUGAACGCAUUCGGACGCUUCGCGAUGUAAAACGACGCAAACUCUGUCCCAAGUGCAAAAAUGAAAGAUUAUGUUCUGCCACCAGAUGUUGACAAAGUUUCCCUUUUCUGCUAGAAUAAUUGUGUCUGAGGUAUAAAUGUACUUGCUGCUACAAAAAGUACAUGCAUUUGAUCAAUUUUUAAUUUUUUGUCUUUGUGACAAUGAAUUUUGCCAGUAAAUCUCACACUGUU